rnacentral:tRNA from 1 species
AGAAGGUUAUUGGUUUACUGCUGCUAACGGUAAAGAGGAUUAUAAGUAAUCCGACUUUCUU